rnacentral:rRNA from 1 species
UUUGGUGAUCAUAGCACGAAGUGAAACACCCGGUCCCAUCCCAGAACCGGAAGUUAAGCACCAAUUGCGCCUGAAUGGUUCUGCAUCUUAAGGUGUGGGAGAGUAGGGCAUCGCCAAAC